rnacentral:lncRNA from 1 species
UGCUCCCCUUCUCUUUGGUUUCAGGCUUACAUCACCAAAGCCUUUAGAUAAACAGUCACCUUCACAGCUGUUCAUUCCAAGCCAAUGACUACAUACUCCAGGGAAGGACCAAGGCUGAGAGGGAGGCUAUGCAUUCAAUGUCUGAUGCGCAAUCAUUGCCCUGAGCUGGCAUGUGGACAACAUUUGUAAUAGCAAUGCAGCAGAAGAAAAUAAAAUUACAAGCAUAAAAUGCC